rnacentral:rRNA from 1 species
UACGUAGGGGGCAAGCGUUGUCCGGAAUCAUUGGGCGUAAAGAGCGUGUAGGCGGCCCGAUAAGUCCGCUGUGAAAGUCCAGGGCUCAACCCUGGAAUGCCAGUGGAAACUGUCGGGCUGGAGUCCGGAAGAGGCGAGUGGAAUUCCUGGUGUAGCGGUGAAAUGCGCAGAUAUCAGGAGGAACACCAAUGGCGAAGGCAGCUCGCUGGGACGUUACUGACGCUGAGACGCGAAAGCGUGGGGAGCAAACAGG